rnacentral:rRNA from 1 species
AGUGAACGCUGGCGGUAGGCCUAACACAUGCAAGUCGAACGGCAGCACAGUAAGAGCUUGCUCUUACGGGUGGCGAGUGGCGGACGGGUGAGGAAUACAUCGGAAUCUACUUUUUCGUGGGGGAUAACGUAGGGAAACUUACGCUAAUACCGCAUACGACCUACGGGUGAAAGCAGGGGAUCUUCGGACCUUGCGCGAUUGAAUGAGCCGAUGUCGGAUUAGCUAGUUGGCGGGGUAAAGGCCCACCAAGGCGACGAUCCGUAGCUGGUCUGAGAGGAUGAUCAGCCACACUGGAACUGAGACACGGUCCAGACUCCUACGGGGGGCAGCAGUGGGGAAUAUUGGACAAUGGGCGCAAGCCUGAUCCAGCCAUACCGCGUGGGUGAAGAAGGCCUUCGGGUUGUAAAGCCCUUUUGUUGGGAAAGAAAAGCAGCAGGUUAAUACCCCGCUGUUCUGACGGUACCCAAAGAAUAAGCACCGGCUAACUUCG